GCCAUAGCUCAGGGGCAGAGCAUCUGGCUUACGUACAGAGGGUCCCAGGUUCAAUUCUCAGCAUCUCCA